CACUGGGAUAGCCUCGGGAAACCGAGGUUAAUACCGGAUACUCCAUAUCCAUCGCAUGAUAGAUAUGGGGAAAAGGCUCCGGCGGCAAAGGAUGGGCCCGCGGCCUGUUAGCUAGUUGGUGGGGUAGUGGCCUACCAAGGCAAUGAUGGGUAGCCGGGUUGAGAGACCGACCGGCCAGAUUGGGACUGAGACACGGCCCAGACUCCUACGGGAGGCAGCAGGG
rnacentral:rRNA from 1 species